rnacentral:rRNA from 2 species
AGUCAUAUGCUUGUCUCAAAGAUUAAGCCAUGCAUGUCUCAGUACAAGCCAAAUUAAGGUGAAACCGCGAAAGGCUCAUUAAAUCAGUUAUGGUUCCUUAGAUCGUACCCACAUUUACUUGGAUAACUGUGGUAAUUCUAGAGCUAAUACAUGCAAAUAGAGCCCCGACCGGAGACGGAAGGGGUGCUUUUAUUAGAUCAAAACCAAUCGGCGACGGGUCAAACCGUUGUCGUAAUAUUUGGUGACUCUGAAUAACUUUAUGCUGAUCGCACGGUCUAGCACCGGCGACGCAUCUUUCAAAUGUCUGCCUUAUCAACUGUCGAUGGUAGGUUCUGCGCCUACCAUGGUUGUAACGGGUAACGGGGAAUCAGGGUUCGAUUCCGGAGAGGGAGCCUGAGAAACGGCUACCACAUCCAAGGAAGGCAGCAGGCGCGCAAAUUACCCACUCCCGGCACGGGGAGGUAGUGACGAAAAAUAACGAUACGGGACUCAUCCGAGGCCCCGUAAUCGGAAUGAGUACAUUUUAAAUACCUUAACAAAGGUCAAUUGGAGGGCAAGUCUGGUGCCAGCAGCUGCGGUAAUUCCAGCUCCAAUAGCGUAU